ensembl:lncRNA
CAGGCGGGCCCCAUAGGUGGCAGUUUUAAUGAGCAAGGGAACUUAUAAGGCUUGUCUUGGGCGACUACAAGAAGUGUUGGAGAAGGUCAUCGAGAGGAGGUGACUGCCGGUUGACCAUGAGCUGAACGGGAGCAACCAGAGGCUCCUCACUCCCUCCGCUGUCCUUGGAAUGUACGUUCUGCUCACCGUUCCUGCAGUGGGAGCCAUUUUCAUGGGUGGAGCCUUGAGAGAGUUAGGUGUUGAGACCAUCCGGAUGGUGUGUGUGACUAAACCAAGUUAAGAUGCCAUAGAAACUCAAGAUUCUCGCAGGCGGGUGUGGAGAGCUACUCCUCGCGCAGCCGCCCAAGACAAGCCUCAUAUUAGCCACCUGCAACCUGAAAAGUUUCAGCUGCAGAGAGCUAAUGAUUCCAGGCUUCAGGUGAAAAGCACUGGCCUUCCUCAGGCGGAAGCAGGAACUAGUUCUCUGCGUGGGCUGGAGCACCCUUCAGCAAACCAGACCACUUAGGCAAGGUUUUGAAAAACCAUGAAGGAAAUCAUGAAGAAUGAUGUUGACUGGCCCAUCUUAAAUCGCUUGCCACCUGGACCAAUCACUAUGGCCCCCAGAGCAGAACCAUUUGAGAAGAGGCAGCUCCCUGGUGGAGCAUCCCAUGUGAGAGUGGGGAGAAGGACCACGCUCUACAGGAGGGAGGGUGCAGCGCUCAUCAGAAGCAAGGGAGGUGAACAACCCCUUGAGGAAUCAAUGUCUCCUUCAAAUGUUCCCCCUUUUUUACUGGCCAGCUCCAUCUCCUUCUCGGGUUGCACCUCAGGGGCCCUAGAAGCUUUCCCCAUUCGCAGCCCAAGCAUUCUGAGAGCUUGGGAGGGUUUGGUGAGUGAAGGUGAAAGAAAGGACAUAGGGAGGACGAGCAGAGCAAACUAUAUUUACUUCACUUACAUGCUUCAGGUCAGUCAUGUUUUGGGGAUCCUUCUCUGUGGUAUUGGUGUGUGCAAAACAGGAACAUCUGUCCUUUAACGUUGCUGCUCAAAAGGGAAUCAGUUUAUCAGGGGUGAAUUGUGUCUGUCUGGGAUGAUUUCUUAAAUCUCUUCCAGCCCAGUGAUUCUGGUAAUUGUCCUUGUUCCUGAUGUCCCAGCAAUUGUGACAUUCAAGCUCAGUUCUAAAUUAGUCUCCUCUCUUUCUUCUCUCCCCUUCUAGAGGAAUGAAGAGGAGAAGGGGGAGAGAAAUGAAGCUUCUGUGUGUUUUCUUCCAUCUGAACACUGCCAAUGUGUAUCUCCAUGUGAUUUUAUUGAAAUUUUGAGCUUCAUGAUCCUGCCACCAGUGAAACUUUGUUAGCCUUGCUUGCUGUCUGUGGGUGGACUAGGCUUGUAUAAUUAUAACAGAUUAAAAAAGGGAGUUCUGAAUUUCACUUGCCAAGGUUUUGUUUGAUAAAUUAAUACACAAAUAAGACAUUUUUUACAUUUUACUUCUACUAAUACCUAUAGCAAGAUGAUAUCAGUGAAUAUUUUAUAAAAUUUUAGAGUGUUAGAGCUAUGUGGAACUUCAGAAAUCCUCUGAAUCUACUUUAUUUUUUAAAGAUGAGAAAGAUGCUGAGGCUGGUGACACACAAGAGUUAGUUGAAGAAGUAGGCAUCUUAGCUCUCUCCAAGCCAGGGACUUUUCUAGUUUAUAUUGAUGCUUCUUACAUCUUAAAUCAAGUGGGUAAUUAGAAAACUUACGUUUCACUACUUUAUUUAGAUUAAUCAGAGUGGAGGAGUGUAGAUCAGUGGGUUCCAAACUUAUGGUAGUAAAUGUAGAAAUAGUGUUAACAGAAGAGUUAGCCCCAGGGUUUUCUCUCUUGAAAUUACUUGAUUCCAAACCCACUUUUAAGUCUCUUUCUCUCCUUUCCUCCCUCUCUCUUCUCUUGCUCCCACUCUUCCUGCAACGUAAGAUCCUUUUAGGUGGUCAGGACGCAUCUUGGUAUCUGGUUGCCUGGAAUUAAACAUAUUUCCCCAAGAAAUGCAUUUGUGUUUUCAAGAAGAAUAUUGUUUAAUUUAGAAAGAAUAAAUAAAUUCACAUAGCAAGAUUUGUCAAUAAUGGAUGAAAAUCACAGAAGCUUGACAUGGAAACUUCUCUCAUUAUUCAUUUCAAAGCUGUAAUGGAUUUUUAGAAGAACAGAGCAUUUUUGUAGAAAGUUUUAUAGAUUGUAAAGCGCUUUCAUAUACAUAAAAUCUUAUUUGAUUAGGGUUGCCAGAUUUGACAACAACAACAAAAAAGAACACCUACUUAGAUUUGAAUUCCAGAU